AGUUUGGGCAUUUUAUAAAUUUUAUUAUUAAAAUUUGGAUGACCCAGAUUUAAUGAAGAAUUAAAUGGAUGGCUUGGAUGUAAGGAAAACAAAAAUAAAUAAAUAUAAGUGAAAGAAGGUUUUUGUGUGUGUGUGUGCGUGAGAGGAAGAAACAGAGGAAGGAGAUUGGGCAGAAAUGCCCAAUCGGGACAAGAGAGAAGAAGACAUCAAGAGGGAUUAAGAGAGGGAGAAGCCGACCAAUCGGAACAGAGGAAAGGAGGAAAGGAGAGAGGGCGAGAAGCGGAGGAGAGAAGAUCAGAAAAUGGGUUUUCCCCCAACCCGUUUACCCGCGACACCCACACCCAAAUUCCGGCGAUUUUCACCGGAUUUCUCACAAAUUGGAUCAAGGUACCACUUUCAAUCAACACCUAGGCCUUCCCUCUUCAUGUUUCAUCCCAAAAAUCAUGAAAUUUCGUGGUGAUUUCGCGAAGAACACCCACACGGGUGCCGCGACCUUCUUGUCCAAAUUCUUCAAAUCGUGAAAUGUUUUCUUUCAAUUACUAACACCAUUAGCAUUUCCUUAGGACCUGGAACAAAGCCCAAGCUUUGAUUUGGACGGUGGAGUUGAUUUGAAGGUCGAAUUGGAACUCACCUAAUUCUAGGGUCCGCACGGAAUUUGAAGUGUUUCCAGGCCAAAUUGGCAUUGGCCACAGGUAUGAAAGUUGCUCUACUCAUUGAGAUCUUUGAUUCUGUAUUUUUUGAGAAUUUUUGGAAAUAGUUGGAUUUUCCGGCGAGCCGGGGCUGCCACCGCCACCCGCGGCGGCCCGUGCGGCGGCGCGUGGCCAAUGGGCCGCCAAUGUCAUUCUUAGCAUGUGUUUAAGGUUCUAGGUUCAGUUUUGAUAAUUGAUGGACGUAAAUUGAGUAAUUGAACCUAAGUUCGUUUCGAUUCGUGGUUAGGUGAAAAUGUGAAUUUACGAUCCAACCGUCGGAUCGUCACCAAACUUUGAUACGUUGUAAUACGUAAUAUUUGAGGAUUAUAGGAACUUACGGAUCGGGAAUCCGAUUCACGGAUCCUUCGGAAUUAGAGUUGUAAAUUCAUAAAAUAGAAUGUUAACCGUCACUUGGUUUUGACAAUUGACGGAGAUCCGACCGUUGGAUGGUAAUGAAAUUUUAGGAUGAUGUCCUAGAGGUAUAUUGUGGACCUCUGGAAGUUAUGGAUUUGAAAUCUGAGUUGCAGAUCUUCCGGAUCGAACUACGUAGUGACGUGUCUUAUAUAAGUUAUAUAUUAUAUCGAUAUGAAUUCUGAGGUUGGAUUUGAUUAUCGUUCUAGGCGCUGAUCGUCACGACGCCUUGAUGUGUGGUGCUAGGGAGUUGUUGGGAGAACUUCAGGUGAGUGGGCAGUUUUUGUUUUUCGUAUUACCUAUAUACUAUUAAUUGUCCCAGAAAUUGAA
rnacentral:lncRNA from 1 species